rnacentral:rRNA from 1 species
ACCACCACCGGCGAACCAGUCCCCGCGGAAACGCCGCUCGCGGCGCGCGGCCCGGGGGAGGACCCGGGGACGCGCGUCCCGGCGAGCUCCGAACGAACCCUCUGGGCGCGGCGAGCGCCAAGGAAUCGAAGUGGAAGAGGGCGGCCGCCUCGCCCGGUGCGGGCGCGCCCCGAAAGGGGACCGCGGCACCGCGGCGGGGGACCGCCGCCCGUCUGUGAAUCUCUUAGACGACUCUCGGCAACGGAUAUCUCGGCUCUCGCAUCGAUGAAGAACGUAGCGAAAUGCGAUACUUGGUGUGAAUUGCAGAAUCCCGUGAACCAUCGAGUCUUUGAACGCAAGUUGCGCCCGAGGCCACUCGGCCGAGGGCACGCCUGCCUGGGGGUCACGCCACCCAUCGCCCCCCCCCGCGGCAUCCCCAUGCCCCGUCGGGGAGCGGAGACUGGCCGUCCGUGCCCGAGCCCUGGGCGCGCGGUCGGCAGAAAAGGAGGGCACCGUGCGGCGCGACACGGCGUGUGGGGGUUGAGAGGCGAUCCGUCGCCGAUCGUACGUCGCGCCCGCAUUCCGCCGCGCGGUGCCGCCCGUGGGACCGGACUCCGCCCGCAGCCGCGGGCGCUCGGACCGCGACCCCAGG